UGGUGGAGUGAUUUGUCUGGUUAAUUCCGAUAACGAACGAGACCUUAACCUGCUAAAUAGCCAGGCCGGCUUUUGCUGGUCGCCGGCUUCUUAGAGGGACUAUCGGCUCAAGCCGAUGGAAGUUUGAGGCAAUAACA
rnacentral:rRNA from 1 species